ensembl:lncRNA
GUUCGAACUUAUAGCUGUAGCUGUACUACCGCUGACAACCACUGUGGGGAGCCAUUCUCUCGUCACCGGCCUCACUUACCGGCACCUCACCAUUUGUUAGAGCUCACCCCCACUACCUCGCGCUCUCAAUGAAUACUAAUGCGGUGUGUGGGCCCACCUCCCCGUCUCUCCCGCUUCUCUCAGGGAUGGGCGAGAGAGAGGGAGACCAGAAGAGAUAGAGCAGGAGAGAGAGCAAGAGCUUCCAGUUGAGUAUAUGCUCUGUGAUGAGGGAGGCAUCGCUAGUUGAGCUGGAGCCCAUGGCUUUAUGUCUGCCUCAGAGCGCUAGCGUCUGCUUCACUGCAACAAUGUCUCACCUGUGGCAGAGUUAGAGAGAGAGAGACCUGAAGAGAGAGAGGAAGACAGGAAAAGAGAGAGCGAGAGAGAAAGAAAGACAGGAAGAGGGAGACAGGGAGAGAGACGUCUUCUUUCUGUUUUUGUCAUCUGGAUGGGAAGCCUCUCCUCGUUGAAUAGGAGGAAGAGCGGACACACGGACAGAUGCUAGAGAGGCAGACAGGUGGACAGACAGACAGACCGACGGACAGACAGGUGAAAGACAGACAGACAGACAGGGGGAAGGACUUGUGCCUGAAGAACCCCCCCCCCCCUUCCCUUCCACAGACCCCCCGCGGACGCCACGGAACCCGCCGGAAUAUUUUCCUUUUUCUUUCGUUUCUUGUUCUUCUUCUUCCUGAUCGCGCUGCUGGGGGGGGCUCUGUCGUUCCAUCUGCUCGCUCUCUCCGCGCUCUGCCUCUUCAUCUACUUCUCCAUCUAUCUGCUCUACAAUUUCUUCUAUUUAUGAGCCACGGAGGAAGGAGAGAGAGAGAGGAGGGGGAUUUUAUUUCAUUUUUUCUUUAAUUUUUCCUGCCUUCCAUCCCAUUCCUCCCCUCCUCUCUCCAUCACUUCCAGCCUUCUCUCUCUCUCCCCCACCCCUGCUCCUCCUGCUCCUCCUCCUCCUCCUCCUCCACCUCCUCAUCACGGCUCUAUCUCUCUCCAUCUUUGAACGCACAGCGGUGGUUACCGUAGAAACCCGCUGAGCAGACCGCCACCGGAGGUUAGCUGUGGUCAUCUCCUUCCUCUUUCAGCUCUUUUCCCCCCCCCCCCGACACACAUUCUUCUCCUCCUGUCAUCUUUGGGCGGCUGUUAUUGCUUACCCUAGACCACACCCCCGCGUUGUCCUGCCUCUGGAAGCCCCGCCUCCAAGGGGGCCUUUUCGGACCGAGGGCCGCUCUCUCCAUGUUGUUGUACAGCAGUCUGUUCAUUAAAACGUCUCAAACAUCCGUCAUGUCUCACGUUUCUCCUUCAUAAGCAC